UCGUCAUAUUUUAGUUAAUACAUCUUUGUACCUGGAAAUCUCCAUAACUUCUUUUUCACAAUAUAAGCUUGCCAGUUGAGGGAGAGCACCAGCAGCGGCACAGCCAGCCUCCAGAAGGGGUUUUGCUGUGGUCUCCAACACCACCCCCGUGGCCUCACCAGGGAGCUGCGCAUGGGAAUAAAAGUUCUGGAAUCUCUAUGUAAAAAUUUGGAGAAAGAACUGCCUGCUUUGAGAUCCUUCUGUGUGAUGUGCUUCCCCCUGAACUAGAGCCGAUCGGACAAAAAAUUAUUACCUGCAUUUUGGAACAAAUCUCUAGAGACAAUUAAGGCUGUUUAUUUACUUGGAGCAAAUGCUGUGAAUUACGCUGGCUGCCUGUGCUGCCUUGCCACGAUUCCUCGUGCGGGGGUGGCUGGAGCUGCGUGCGGUGAGAAGGAAGCAGCACGGACGUCGCAGCCAGCCAAGAGGGGAAUCUGCAUGUCAUCACUCAGAUGCUGCAUUUGGCAAAGGGGACAGAGAAAAACUAGUUACUUGUCUGACUGAGUCGACAGGUCAUCCCUGGAGACCAGGAUCGGUAUGAGACAAUGCCUUAAAAGAGCAGCAACACCGAUGUGAAGAAUGGAAACCUGAGGCAUUCCCUAAGUGUUGCUGGUGAAUCCUGCUCUGAGUUGGAGGCGAGAGCCAGGGAGGCAUUUGCUGCGUCGUUCCAAGGACACAAAUUGCUGCAGGCAUCUCGGAGAGGGCACUCAUCAAAACUGCGCAGGGCCUUUGGUGCUCGGGCACUGUGACUGCAAGGAAGUGAAGGGAGGCGUUGAAAGGUUCUUCGGAAUCCGCUGUUUUGCACCGUGUUGUGCUUAUUGGGAGACAAGGAGUGCUUGUCUGCUGCAGCAUGUGAUCUGUUUAAUGGUACUCUCGCACUUAUCAAUGCCCAUCGCUUAUUCCACUGAGGACACGACAGCUGGACGCUCAGUUAACUUCAUGCACUGCUGAUGGAUGAGUUUCUUUAAGCACUGGUGGUUCACGGAGGGGGCAAUUGCUUUGCUGAAGACCAUUUUUCUGGGGCUCAUUCCUGGUGCUACUGAAGCCAAGGGGUUCAUUGAAGCAUGACUGGACAAAUUGUUUGGGAUUUCCAGUCUCGCCAAAACUGGGUCAAAACAUUGGGUCUGAGGCAGACCCGAAGCUCAGAGCACCACAGUUGCCUGUCCUGGAGCUGACCACGAAGAACUAAUAUCCCUCAAAUAAAGCCUUCAGCUUCUUUCCGAGGAAAGGGAACUGUAAUGAGAGAGGAAAGCAUGACAGAAGAGAGGGGCCAGCAAGAAGGUAACUGCAAACUUGUCUGGAGGAGUACAGGGUCAGCAGCGGGGAAGCUUUGCCUCUGCAGCUGCCCCUGGGUCACCCUUCUCCCACGGGCAGCGCCUCUGCAGCACACUCUGAUGCUGAUCAGCGUGGGGAAACGUGCAGUAGUGAGCAACCCGCAUCACGCUGUGCUAACAAACACGUGUUCCAGAGAUCCUGCUUCGAGAGGCAAUAAUGAGAAUGCUGGUGCAACCACAAGCCUUCGAGGUGCUGCAGUCCUGCUGGUGGCAGUGACCCCUUCCUCGGGAGCCACGUUUGGGUGCCCUGGGAUGGGCAGGGGGUUUAGCAAAGCAAAAUAAAUGCAAGGAGGAGCUGUAUUUCCUCUCUAUCAACACAUCAGUGGAAUAAACAUUAAAGAGGAAGCAAAAUUAAUUAAAUGAAGGGAGGCUCUCAUGCUAAAACCAGAUCAGUGCAAUGUGACCGUGAGUGUUUUUGGAAAGGGCAAAUGAAAAGGUGUUGGCAUCACAGCAACGAGGGUCAGAGUGAGCUCUGAAAGUGGAGGAGAAAAAUUGACUUCUCUUUUGAUGAAGCUUGCUUGUUUGUAACCGAGGCUGGACCUGUUAGCUGGAGAACAUCAGCUACAAUGUGAUGCGCUGGUCCGUGUCUUCAUGAGCAAAAGUAACUGCUUCUGAGACUGUUUUUCCUCUUUCUUCUUUUCUACCUUGUAAUCCUGUUAAUACAUUUCAAAUGCAAAGACAGGACUGGAGAAGUUCCCUUAAAAAAGAAAGGUAAUUUUCAGAACGUCAUACUUGUGGCUUGUCUUCUUAACGAAGAUCUUGUUAUCAGACACCUGGUGUGUGCUGGUUCUCAGCUGGGGACCGCCCGCAGAGGUUCCCGGUGUCACAGCUCUAACACCGAACUCAGUUUUCAUCCUGCUCUGGGGUUUCCAGGUAGCUUCCAUCCCCAAAGAACACUUCUGCUGAACACGGAUUGGGCUUUAAAAGGCAGCAGUUUGUUAGUGUUUGGCUGCACCAGGUCUCACAGGAGAUAAAAGGUGCAGCAUGCUCUUGAGUACCAGCCCUGGGCAUCAGGAAAAGGAAAGUAUGGAUGGGUGAAAAUUUCUUGCUCUUUCUUCCAGACAAUCAAUCAUAGAAAUGAUAGUCAUGCCAAAGCAGCCCAACGUCCCAGAGCACAUCCCUGUGCAUCAGUGGUACCUCCUCUGCAUGCAGACAGCGGUCUGAGCCCUUCUUAGGGCAGUACAAACAGCCCUGUUGAGGCGGGGGUGAGGUAACCAGGCUGUGGGAUGUGCUUAUUAUCCAGAAAAAUGAAGAAAAAAAGACCACAGAGGUGGGAUCAACAGUCAGAUGGCUAUGCCACACCCAAUGGGAAGCUGGGAAGUGCUCUCUGUUUAGCACUCUGCUCAGCCAUAGAUUUCCAUAUACUUUUAGAAAGAAAAUGAAAGGCAGCAGCUUAAUAGCUUAAGUGCGGAGCUUACUGUCAAAUCCAAUCCCGUGGACAAGCAGCAAGACGCUCUGCGCAGAUAGAUGGCAAGGUUUACCUGUGAGCAAUUUCCUGCUCAGCUUCUAUUACCCUUCGAUGAGUGGCUUUACUUGUCUCUACAUCUUUCUACUAGUCUUUCUAUUUCCUGAAGUAGGAAUUAAUGUACAGGAGAGAAGGGCAGCAAUAUGUCCGGGGCACCCAAGGCUGAUUGUUGGAAAGCUUUUCCUCUUGGAUGACUGGAAAGAAGCCUGGCAGCCCGGGAACGAGCAAGCUGCUGCUUUCUUGCUGAAAAUGCAAUGUGUCCAACAGAUGUAGCUAAAUAAUGUAUACAAGUCAAUCAGGUUCUUCCAAUUACCGAUCAGGAGAUGUGGAAGGACAGACAGAUGGGCGACAGUCCACAAGACGUUGAGUCUGCUCCCCCUCCAUCACCACCCGCCUCCGCUGUGCCCACACUCUUGAGUAAAUCAGAGGAGGCCUCAGAGAUAAUGCGAGGGCUGAAGCACCUCUGCUCUGAGGACAACCUGAGAGGGGUGGGGAUGUUCAGCCUGGAGAAGAGAAGGCUGCAGGGAGACCUCAGAGCAGCUUCCAGUGCUGAAGGGGCUCCAGGAAAGCUGGGGAGGGGCUUUUUCCAAGGGCCUGGAGUGACAGGAUGAGGGGGAAUGGCUUUAAAUUGGAAGGGGGAAGAUUUAGAUUAGACAUUAGGAAGAAAUGUUUUGCUGUGCGGGUGGGGAGGCCCUGGCCCAGGGUGCCCAGAGCAGUGGGGGCUGCCCCAUCCCUGGAGGGGUUCCAGGCCAGGUUGGAUGGGGCUUGGAGCCCCUGAUCCAGUGGGAGGUGUCCCUGCUCAUGGCAGGGGUGGGACUGGAUGGGCUUUGAGGUCCCUUCCAACCCAAAUCAUUCUAUGAUUCUAUGAUUUUACUGAAAAGACAUUUUAUGAACAGAGGUUGUUGGUGCCUGCACGCAGGUUCUCUACACUAAUGCAUCACAGAGCCCCCCAAAGCCACCAGGUUUUGCCAACACCUGCUGAUGGCUCGGCAGCAAGUUGAGUUUCACCCACAGUGACUCAAAUCCUCCUGCUUCAGGGCUGGUCAUUCGGCAGCACAACUCACUUCAGAUCCCGAGUGGAAAGAACCGAGCUCCCUUUCACUUUGGAUGCAGCUGACCAGCGUGACCGUGGCUCACUUCACUUCCUGAGCUGUGCCGUGACCGGCUCCCGAGAGCAGCCAGGCCAGACUCCAAUAACAGUUAAUCAGCUUUCUCCUUAUCCAUAAUUAUUUCCCAUCACUCUCUCUUCUAACCUUUUCUUAAAUGACAAGGUUCCUUUAGCCAAGGUAUUAAUUUCCAGCUCCCCAAAAGCCUCUGCUGUGUACCUUGUGCGUGUAGCAUCGCUCACGCCAAUCUGCUGGGGAAAGCGCUGCUUUAUAAUCUGACAGCCCUUAAAUGAAGCAGUUUUGUGUCAAAUAGCAGCUUUUGACAAACUCGCCGGCUGAAAGGCUUCUUCCUUUUGUGUGACAUUUCACCACUUCUUUUUCUUCAAUAUUUCUGACACUUUUCCCAUUACGAUGAUGAAGUUCUAAGGCAAAAAGAAACUAAUGGUUUGUUCUCCUCAUGGAAAGAAUGAAAAGAAUGCCAUUAAAAUUAGAGGAAAAAAUAUCUCGCAUUGCUGUAGUCAAGUGGAAGAUGUAGGCUGAGGAUUAGGGAGUGUGUACGUGGGAUAGUGAAUAUGAAUGCUGGUGGUUUAAGGUUAACUGUGCAAUAGCAUUAUCUGAAAAAAGAGCAUUCGGUGAACAUUAUUGCCUAUUUUCCAAAGGGGAAUCCAUUCCUGUUUCUUGGUGGUUGGUAUGUGGCUUGGUUUCUGAUGCUCUCCAUCAUAAAGCCAGCUCUGGGCUAUCAUAUGGCACCUAGAAAUGCAGAUGUUUAGACAUUCUAAAUAGAACAUGUCUGUGUACAAAUAUGUUUAGCGUGUAUAACGAGUGGUGGAAAUGUCCAGUUUCAUUUUUAUCACUGUUCUCACAGCCGUGUAGCUGGCUUCAUGAUGUUUUCAUUCUGCUUUCACAUCACUUUGUGCUUGCACUGUCAGGUUUGCAGGGCAGAGCCCAGCUCCUCUCUGUUCUGACCAGCGUUCCAAAGCCAUCACCUUGCCAGAGUCUAAACUGUUCUCCUUGGAGGCAGGAGAAUUUCUUAUCCAUUUCCUGGGUUGUAUCUGAACAAUGAGGCUGUGAAUGUGGCUUAAGCUGUCUGUUUGGACUCUCACUUUGAAUCUGCAGUGGCGACAGCUAUUUCAAUUCAUUUGGGGUUGGUUCAGCGAGGCAGCAGCAGCAGCAGCAGCAGCCUACAUCGAGUGGCAGUGGUGGGGUCAUAACCCAAUUUUGCAGGUAAGGAUUCCUCUGCUGACGUUACCUUUUCUCUGUGGAGCAUUUGUAGUUGGGGAUAAAGAACUUCUGGAAACUGGGGAAAAAAUUACGUCAGUCCCGCCAAGUUAAUAUUGGGGAAAAAAUAAAUGGAAGGAAUCCCAAUACAGAGGUAAGUGAACCAUUCAGUGCGGUCUCCUGCACCACAGGGCAUCCGGGCAAAUCAUAGCAUCACAGAACCAUGGAAUGGUCUGGGUUGGAACCUCAAAGCCCAUCCAGUUCCAACCUCCCUGUCAUGGGCAGGGACACCUCCCACUGGACCAGGUUGUGGGUUGGAUGGGGCUUUGAGCUCCCUGAUCCAGUGGGAGGUGUCCCAGUUGGUACUGGAAGAGCCUGGGCUGCGGCGUUUGCAGACAGCAGAAGUUAAUCCCCGCUUCCUGCGCCGCACAAUGUUGCUUUCCUGCAGAGCAGCAUCUCAAGUGACACACAUAAAACCAAACAACUGAAAUGUGAGGGCUGAGAUUUCAUGUCCUACAUAUCUAGAAUAAUUUAUCACUGGAGACUGAGGAGUAUAAAACGUUUUUUUGGUCAACAUUAGGUUGAUUUAAACAUUUUGAAUAUGUUUAACAGAGUUUAAAUUAUUUUUAGCACAGACUCAACGGCUCUAACAGGACAGGAAAACUUCGAAGAACUUCGCUAGAAGAAUAAUUUAUAGAGCUGCUUUAUGCUGUGAUGCACCUUAAAUCAUUGGGAAUGGAUGCAAAUGAUUUUUACAGCUCCUCUCUUUGCGGAGUAUUUUACCAAUGCAAACUACUUCUGAAGGACAGCAGAUGGACAAGAUGAUGAUUCUAACCAGCCAGGUUAUUUUUUCAAGGUGCAGUUUUGACCUCACACCCACCAUUGCUGAGCUGUUGUCAUUUAAAAAAAAGGGAAACAAGGCUGUGUUUCUGUUCAAGCAAGAGAUACCUUCUCCUUACCCAGGAGGGAGAACUGACUGGGUCAUCGUUAACAUCUGUCUCUCCAAAAAAGCAGUAGUUUUCGAUUACAGCAUCAGAAGAUCAAGUACAGCCCAGUGUCACAGGGUUCCUCUUAAACACUGUGCUCUGCACCUUCUUCAACCACUCCUUGAACGCAAAGCCUUCAUACUCUCAGAAAGAAACCUUUCUAGAGGUUUAGGAGACUUUAUGCCACCAGGAAAAAAGCACGAGAAGCCGUUCAGCACCAGAAGCCCAUUUUGAACAGCAAGGUUGAUCAAACAUAGAACAAACUGCUACGGCACUGGCGGGGAAUCUGCCCGUUGGCAUCACAAAAUCAGGACAGAUUUCUUAUUCAGAUGAUGGGCUUGAGCUAAACACAACCUGUCAAGUGCAACACGGGGCAAGUGCUGAACCCAAAUACCGUGUCACACAGCGAAGGUCGCGUCAGCUGAGAUAACAGCUCCUUCCUACAGGACACCAGGACAGUUUCUGCAGCUGUUCCUGAAUGACAAAGCUCCCAGUGUUGAGUCACGCUGCUCCCAUCGCAUCUCGACACUUGUAAGAGAAGGACAGUCUGGGGGGGAGGUUGUUGGUUAUUUGUCCCUUUCCCUAUAAACAGUUUGGAGAAGCGGACAGAAGGAAUAGCAUCAUUCUAAGGCAGAGCAGCUGCUAGCAAAAAAAACCUGUAGAAAUGAUACUGCAAAAUCCAGGAGACAGCAGCAGCACAGACUCAGCACAGAAACUUCAGGAGAGUGGCUGGCAAGCUCCUCUGAUUUUCAGCUUCUGCCCAAAGCACCCCGGGCAAGGGUACACCCCCUCCUUCGCUCAGGGCAGCCCUACCACAGCG